CAGCAGUCGACAGUGUCGCAAAAUGACGCAUGCGCAAUGUGAGGGACUACGAUCCCCCAAAGGACUACCAUCGCGUAGCGACAUAUGCUCUCGCCGAUUGUUUGAAACGCACGUUGCCGUCACUGGUGGGAGUAAGACGCUAGCUGCACCUCGUCAGGAGUUUCAUGCCGGAACUUCACGUUAGGCAUUGCCCCGUUUGACUAUAGUAUUGCAAGAGGUCUCCCCUGGCUACUGGGGUUAACAAGGGACGCCAAGCUGACGUGGGUCCCUCCUCCCCAUGUCCACCUGGGUCCUUCCUUUUGUAUGACCGUCAAGGCCAAGUUUUAGAUAUGGUGUGUGAGGACCCCCCCCCAGUCCCUACAGGAGACAAAGAACCUAUAAGACUGAAGACCCUCUGGCCCUUGCAGAACAUGAACACCCUGAGACUGAAUUUAAGUCUGAAUCAGAAGUAGAGUUCUUGAGGAGGAUUGUCGGCCAACAGGCUGAAAAAAAAUGAAGCAUCUGGGAGAACAGCUGUGAGGUUUCCAAACAGAGGAAAGGCAGGUGGCCCAUUAAACUGCGGUGCUGAUCCAGAAUCUUUUACAACUUGCCAACGAUUGCACUCUUGGCACAACCACUGCUUUAUGUCCGGAGACAUCCCUGGAACGAAUAUCAGAGAGAGUAUGGCACAGAAGGACAGAUGCCAUGGACUGAGUAACAGACAUCAUUAAGUCCAGGCAUGAGGCUUGCUGGAGGGGCAUUGGGACCGGAGUGUUGGGAAGGGCGUGUCCCUGGUGCCCCUCCCCAUCAAUAGUUACGUACACCAGUAGCUAUUUAAAUAUCUUUAAUUGACAUUGUGUUAAAAAUUAGUUUACACAUUAACACUUACGUCUUAUUCCAUAAAUCUAGUUGUUGUCCAUUGUUGCUUGGAUGUGAAUCUGCACACAUUGACUCUUAUUCUGGAGGAGCCAUUCAUUGUAGUAUUCUGUUCACGUUACAAUUAGGUUUCACAUCCGUUAAUAUUUUUGUUGUUUUAUAUGUUAGUCAGCCAUUUUUGACUGCACAGAUCGACGACAAGAGUUACAAUUUAAAAAGAUUUUAGUUUAUUGAAAAUAAUACACAGUCAUGUAUAACUGCAGUUA